UACGAAGGGGGCUAGCGUUGCUCGGAAUCACUGGGCGUAAAGCGCACGUAGGCGGAUUGUUAAGUCAGGGGUGAAAUCCUGGAGCUCAACUCCAGAACUGCCUUUGAUACUGGCGAUCUCGAGUCCGGGAGAGGUGAGUGGAACUGCGAGUGUAGAGGUGAAAUUCGUAGAUAUCAAGCGGAACACCGGUGGCGAAGGCGGCCUUCUGGACCGGUAUUGACGCUGAGGAGCGAAAGCCAGGGGAGCAAACGGG
rnacentral:rRNA from 1 species